UUGCACGCUGGCGGCAGGCCUCACACAUGCCAGUCGAGCGGAUGAAGGGAGCUUGCUCCUGGAUUCAGCGGCGGACGGGUGAGUAAUGCCUAGGAAUCUGCCUGGUAGUGGGGGAUAACGUCCGGAAACGGGCGCUAAUACCGCAUACGUCCUGAGGGAGAAAGUGGGGGAUCUUCGGACCUCACGCUAUCAGAUGAGCCUAGGUCGGAUUAGCUAGUUGGUGGGGUAAAGGCCUACCAAGGCGACGAUCCGUAACUGGUCUGAGAGGAUGAUCAGUCACACUGGAACUGAGACACGGUCCAGACUCCUACGGGAGGCAGCAGUGGGGAAUAUUGGACAAUGGGCGAAAGCCUGAUCCAGCCAUGCCGCGUGUGUGAAGAAGGUCUUCGGAUUGUAAAGCACUUUAAGUUGGGAGGAAGGGCAGUAAGUUAAUACCUUGCUGUUUUGACGUUACCAACAGAAUAAGCACCGGCUAACUUCGUG
rnacentral:rRNA from 1 species